rnacentral:lncRNA from 1 species
ACCUUCCCUACCCCACAUCUACACCAAAGUCAAGUUGAACCCUUCUCGGGUUUAUUCACCUUCUUCCCUACCCAACAUCACUCACCAUCUCUGUCAUCCUAAACCUCCCAAUUGUUGCCCUAACAGUCAUGGUUGUGCUGCUCGGUCGCCUUAGAAAAUUAUACGACAACAACCUUCCCCACCCCACAUCUGCACCAAAGUCAAGUUGAACCCUUCUCGGGUUUAUUCACCUUCUUCCCUACCCAACAUCAUUCACCAUCUCUGUCAUCCUAAACCUCCUAAUUGUUGCCCUAACAGUCAUGGUUGUGCUGCUCGGUCGCCUUAGAAAAUUAUACGACAACAACCUUCCCCACCCCGCAUCUACACCAAAGUCAAGUUGAACCCUUCUCGGGUUUAUUCACCUUCUUCCCUACCCAACAUCACUCACCAUCUCUGUCAUCCUAAACCUCCCAAUUGUUGCCCUAACAGUCAUGGUUGUGCUGCUCGGUCGCCUUAGAAAAUUAUACGACAACAACCUUCCCCACCCCCACAUCUACACCAAAGUCAAGUUGAACCAUUCUCGGGUUUAUUCACCUUCUUCCCUACCCAACAUCACUCACCAUCUCUGUCAUCCUAAAC